GCCCGAUGAACCUGAAUAUCCGUUAUGGAAAAUUCAUCAUUAAAGUUAUAAUAUUUAAACAAUAUUAUACAAAUAAUGUGCAUUUUUUCCAUAUAAGGACAUUGUAAUCUAUUAACAUAUUAAAUUUAUCAUAAAAUAUGGCUUAUAGUUUAUUCAAAUUAUUAUGCUUGCAUUUUAACAUAGAAUAAAUGUCAUUAAUUUGAUAAAGUGUUGAUAGACUAAUAAGAAUACAGUGCGUUAAUUUUUCGGAAUUAUAUAAUGGCAUAAUUAUCAUUGAUUUUUGUGUUUAUUAUAAGCACUUGUAUGAUUAACAAUGCGAAAGAUUCAGGAUACUUCGGG
rnacentral:rRNA from 1 species